rnacentral:rRNA from 1 species
UAAGUGAAUAGUGAAAUCUGGCGGCUCAACCGUACAGGCUAUUAUUCAAACUGGCAAACUCGAGAAUGGUAGAGGUAACUGGAAUUUCUUGUGUAGGAGUGAAAUCCGUAGAUAUAAGAAGGAACACCAAUGGCGUAGGCAGUCUACUGGCUCAUUUCUGACACUAAGGCACGAAAGCGUGGGGAGCGAACGGGAUUAGAUACCCCGGUAGUCCACGCCGUAAACGAUGGAUGCUA